rnacentral:rRNA from 1 species
UACAGAGGGUGCGAGCGUUAAUCGGAAUUACUGGGCGUAAAGCGUGCGUAGUCGGUUAUCUAAGUCGGGUGUGAAAUCCCCGGGCUCAACCUGGGAAUUGCAUUCGAUACUGGAUAGCUAGAGUUCGGCAGAGGGAAGCGGAAUUUCCGGUGUAGCGGUGAAAUGCGUAGAUAUCGGAAGGAACAUCAGUGGCGAAAGCGGCUUCCUGGACCAGAACUGACGAUCAGGCACGAAAGCAUGGGGAGCAAACAGG